rnacentral:rRNA from 1 species
UACGUAGGUGGCAAGCGUUGUCCGGAAUCACUGGGCGUAAAGCGCGCGCAGGCGGCGAUCUACGUCUGGGGUGAAAGCCCGGGGCUCAACCUCGGGACUGCCUUGGAUACGGGAUCGCUUGAGAAUCGGAGAGGCAAGGGGAAUUCCACGUGUAGCGGUGAAAUGCGUAGAGAUGUGGAGGAACACCUGUGGCGAAGGCGCCUUGCUGGCCGAUUUCUGACGCUGAGGCGCGAAAGCGUGGGGAGCAAACAGG